GGAGAUGUUAGCAUAAUCAGAAGGUUAUGCAAGUCUGUUAUGAAAGUCAGAUAAUUACACUAGGUUUUGAAGAACUUGUCUUUGUAUGUUUCUAUCUUUAACUUUAAUUUGUCUGUGGAUGGAGAAGUCAAGAGAGAUGUGAAGGAGGCGGUGCGUGUGAUAGGCUUUCUAAGAUGAACUCAAAUUAGAGCAUUGUGAAUGGCGAUGCAGAUUUCUACUUAGAAUGUAUUCGUUGUAUUUAGGGGCUGAAGAUAUCACAAGAAUUUAUUUCGUUUGCUUUGUGUGUGUGUAUUUUUUUUUUUUUUGAGCCGGAGUCUGGCUCUGUCGCCCAGGCUGGAGUGAGCCGCGCCAUCUUGGCUCACUGCAAGCUCCGCCCCCCGGGUUCCCGCCAUUCUCCUGCCUCAGCCUCCGGAGUAGCUGGGACCACAGGCGCCGCCACCGCGCCCGGCUAGUUUUUUGUAUUAUUUUUAGUAGAGCCGAGGUUUCACCAUGUUAGCCAGGAUGGUCUCCAUCUCCUGACCUCGUGACCCGCCCACCUCAGCCUCCCAAAGUGCUGGGAUUACAGGCUUGAGCCACCGCGCCCGGCCGUGUAUUUUUUUUUUUUUUUUUUUAAAUAAUAAACUUUAUUUUAGAUUCAGGGGAUAAACGUGCAGAUUUGUUACACGGAUAUGCUGUGUGAUGCUGAGGUUUGGGCUACGGAUGAUUUCAUCACCCAGGUAGAAUAUGGGGAUUAAGCCACACCAUCGUUGAAGUUAACAGAAUCCCACUGGCAUGAAACCCAAACUUUCAGACAUACGGUGCUCAACCAUUGGUCUGGACCAUGGGACCUUCAACCACUAUGAGGAUCUGGGAAAUUAGGCAUCUCAGAAGUGAAAAUUGUGGAGAAAAUAUGGACAAGGACAGCACUAGAGAAACAGACCCCGAAUCCUGUGUAUAAACAAGCAUGUGAACAUGGGCUCACUCUCAGGGUCAGCACACAUGGAGCACAGCAAAUAAGGCAGAGCAAAAUAUUUGAGAAUUGAACUGUACUAUGAACUACCAACCAAAUUGUUCCCAGAUGAACUCCUGAGUGACUCAAGAACAGGCAAUGCACAAAUCUCAGAGCAAUGUCCAAAGGUGCCCUGACAUCGUAGUUAGUGCCCACAGAAGGUGAGAUAGAAGCUUCAGUCUUAACCUAUCCAUGUCAAUUGCCUUCUAAAAUAGCAAUCACAAUAUUACAACCAACAUUCUCCACAGGAUUUGAUCAGGGCCCAGAAUUUCAGGACAUAAGAUUCAAAAUGUCCUGAGU
rnacentral:lncRNA from 1 species